rnacentral:misc_RNA from 1 species
AAAAAAACACCUUUGAUAUAAUUUUUUAUUGUAAAGGGAGAGCUUGGAUGACUUUUAAAACAACUGAACUUUUUAGGAAGGCACUCGGUAGCCAAUUGGCUGUCUAUUAACUGAGUUUUCACAUAACUGGCCCUUGCAGCUCUUAUCCUGGCUAUCAUGUUUUUAUUAUUAUUUUGGUUAUUGUAUAGCCACCAAGCUGGAUAACUACUCAUUACGGCCUGGUGGUGGCUUGUUUAUUUGAAUUCGAAUUAUU